rnacentral:rRNA from 1 species
UCAGAUGCGAAAGCGUGGGUAGCAAACAGGAUUAGAUACCCUGGUAGUCCACGCCGUAAACGCUGUCUACUUGGAGGUUGAGGUUUUAGACUUUGGCUUUCGGCGCUAACGCAUUAAGUAGACCGCCUGGGGAGUACGGCCGCAAGGUUAAAACUCAAAUGAAUUGACGGGGGCCCGCACAAGCGGUGGAGCAUGUGGUUUAAUUCGAUGCAACGCGAAGAACCUUACCUACUCUUGACAUCCAGCGAAGCCUUUAGAGAUAGAGGCGUGCCUUCGAGAGCGCUGAGACAGGUGCUGCAUGGCUGUCGUCAGCUCGUGUUGUGAAAUGUUGGGUUAAGUCCCGCAACGAGCGCAACCCUUAUCCUUGUUUGCCAGCACAUAAUGGUGGGAACUCCAGGGAGACUGCCGGUGAUAAACCGGAGGAAGGUGGGGACGACGUCAAGUCAUCAUGGCCCUUACGAGUAGGGCUACACACGUGCUACAAUGGCAGAUACAGAGGGCAGCGAGACAGCGAUGUUUAGCGAAUCCCUUAAAGUUUGUCGUAGUCCGGAUUGGAGUCUGCAACUCGACUCCAUGAAGUCGGAAUCGCUAGUAAUCGUGGAUCAGAAUGCCACGGUGAAUACGUUCCCGGGCCUUGUACACACCGCCC